rnacentral:lncRNA from 1 species
UCUCAUUAAUUAUUGCCAUUAUGGAAGAAUAGUGCCACUAUGGACAUUAUGAACCAUUACAAAUCCUACCGGGCAUUUUUUUGGAUGCAUGGUGUAUGAGGCAUGUUGCCAUUGCUCCAAGAUUCUUGAUUAUUAUCCUAUUUUGUUGUUCAUUCUUCAAUCUCAACUUGUUCCAGGUAAAUUGUGAUUAUGGUUAGUCCCAUUAUAUGGCCCGCCUUCACAUGUAUGGAAGCAAAAUAAUUAAUAGAUUUUUGCAGUGUACA